CUAAGUUUGUUAUUGGUAUGAGCUUCCCUGUGCAUGUGCAUGCACAGGGAAGCUCAUACCAAUAACAAACUUAG